rnacentral:SRP_RNA from 1 species
GCUGGGCGUGGUGGUGCACGCCUGUAAUCCCAGCUACUCGGGAGGCUGAGGCAGGAGAAUCGCUUGAACCCGGGAGGCAGAGAUUGCAGUGAACCGAGAUCACACCACUGUACUCCAGCUUGGGUGACAGAGCGAGACUCUGUCUCAA